rnacentral:rRNA from 1 species
AUGAAGCUCAAUAGAGGUCGCCGCCGCAGCCGUGAUUCGAAUAAAGCAGCUGAUACUGGGGAGGACAGGCUAAGCGAGCUGCCCAGCGAUGUGCUUCUCAAAGGCCUUGAGACGGUCGAAACACAGUCAAAGACAGCAGCUGGUAACGGGGAGGACAGGCUAAGCGAGCUGCCCAAUGAUUUGCUGGUCAACAUCCUUGAGAGGGUGGGUACGCUUGAUGCUGUAAGAACCUGCAUCCUUUCGAAGCAAAUGCAGAAGCUGCCGACUAUGCUCUCGCAGAUCAUAAUUGAUCUCAGCAAUCGUGAUUUGAUUCAAAUGGAUGGUGUUGUGGCUGAUAUGACGGAGAAGAUCCUCAGCACGAGGUCUCCACAGAUCACCGUCCGCAAGCUGAAGCUCAAGUUCUUCCUGGUUCCCUCCCGCUGCCUCGCCAUCGGUAGAUCCGUCGGCCUCGCCAUGGCGACCCAGAAACUGGAGGCGGCCGAGUUCGAAAUCAUGACACUGAGGGACACCGACCAUUGCACCGACGCCCAUCGCCUGCUCUUCGCCAAGCAGUUCAACGAUUUUGUCCGCGAUUGUCCGGACGCAUUUGCUGGUCUCACGCAGCUGCAUCUGCGGAACAUGAGGUUCGGUGAAUCGGACAUACCCAGCAUCCUCCGCCAUUGCAGGCGGCUAGAGUCCCUGUCUUUCCGCGAGUGCGACGCGGGGUUCCGCUCGGUGCUCCGUGUGGAGCACGCUCGGCUCGUCGAGUUUGCUAUCACCUACGGGGAAUUUAAAACGGUGGUGCUUGACUGUCUGCCAAAGCUCCAGCGGAUGAGCUACAGGAAUUGGCCCUGUGAUGAGAACCCCUUGGUUCUUGGUUUUGUGCCUCAGCUUUCGAAGCUUAGCCUUGCUAAUGCAAACAUUUCGGGCAAGACCAUCAACCUAAGCCAGCUGCUUGCGAAUGCCCCCACUGUAAGCGAUUUGUACCUGGAGUUUCGUAGUGAAAAGAUUUGGCUUCGACCAGAAUGCACAAGAGUGCUUCCUCCCGUGCUUGCCAAACUUCGGUUUGUGAAUCUGGAUCAUCUUCCUGAAGAAUGUGAUAUCUCCUGGACAAUGUUCCUUCUUGAAGCCGCACCAUACUUAGAGGAGCUUUGCAUCACGGUAUGGGAUCAUAAGUGUCGGUCGGAGUCGCAAAAGAGUUUCUCCAAGAAAAUGGAUGUGAAGUGGGGGCCAUCCGAUCCUCAUUUUAGGCACAAGAAUCUGGGGAGGCUAAUUAUCCACGGUUUCCAGUCCGAUGGCAAUUUCACAGGAUACGUCAGGCGUGUCAUUCAAGCUGCGGCGAACAUCAGGGAGGUAUUCCUGCACGACAGGAAGGUGUGUCAAUGGUGUAUCGAAAAGUUUCCUCAUCUGGGGUUUCGUCCUUCUAGUUAUCCACGGACCAGAGAGGAUGCUGAUUUGUUGAGGAAGAAGAUGAUAGCAGAGACGGCGACCGCUACUCCCGAUAUUCACUUCCGCUCUUAA